UGGGGAAUAUUGGACAAUGGGCGAAAGCCUGAUCCAGCAAUGCCGCGUGAGUGAUGAAGGCCUUAGGGUUGUAAAGCUCUUUUACCCGGGAUGAUAAUGACAGUACCGGGAGAAUAAGCCACGGCUAACUCCGUGCCAGCAGCCGCGGUAAUACGGAGGGGGCUAGCGUUGUUCGGAAUUACUGGGCGUAAAGCGCACGUAGGCGGCUUUGUAAGUUAGAGGUGAAAGCCCGGGGCUCAACUCCGGAAUUGCCUUUAAGACUGCAUCGCUAGAAUUGUGGAGAGGUAAGUGGAAUUCCGAGUGUAGAGGUGAAAUUCGUAGAUAUUCGGAAGAACACCAGUGGCGAAGGCGACUUACUGGACACAUAUUGACGCUGAGGUGCGAAAGCGUGGGGAGCAAACA
rnacentral:rRNA from 1 species